UCAUGCGGCCUAAUGCUACUCAUAACGUUUGAGCUGGAGGAACCCUCACUACUUUGCUUAGUCACUAUAGAACUAAAUCCGAGGGAGUAGAGGAAGCUCCAGGUCCCGUAAUAACCAUUUUUCCCCUUAAAUUUCUUCUUCUUCGCCAUCUAACUCAUCGCGAUGCGCAUAUUAGAGACACAUAAAUGACCAUUUAUAAAGCUCUUAUAAACUAAAGUGAAAAAAUAUUUACAUGUAUCAAAAUUGUAUAGAAAUAUAAGAGAUUAACUCAAUAAAACAUUUAAACAUUAAACAAAAUAAUUGACAUGACUGUUGUUCCUGGAAUUUAUGGAUAAUGAUAACAAAUAAUCAAUUAAGAUAGAAAAUAGAGAAUGAAGAUAUUGUAAACUUAAAUGGAUAACACUAUUGCGCUUCCGAAUUGCCUAGAAAUAUAAGGAUUUUACUCAGUCAAAAUUUUAAACUUAAACAAAAUAAUCAGGACAACCGUCGUUCUUGGAUUUUUUAUAUGACUUGAAAUAAACCAAUAAAUAAUCAACUAAAGUAGGAAAAUAGAGAAUAAAGUUGUCGCCGUGUAAUGGAGCACUUGUGAUAGUGUCAUAGGACAACCGCUUUUGCUAAUCGCGUAGAAAAUAAUGAUGUUGUGAACAAGUGGUAAAAACCUAUCCAGGUUACCCGUCUCUUCUGGCCACGUACUGUGAAAUUUAAGCAUUAUGCUCAAAGGAUGGGUCGGUUGAAAAUUAUAAAAUAAAGUUAGAGAGAAUAUAUCAGAGGAAAAAGUUUUUCAUUUUUAUCAUAUGGUUGUCCCUUUCAACCUCUUAAAACUGCCUUUACAUACAAAAGGAUAGCCCAUCACAUAUUAAUAGAGGCUGAAUGUUUUUUUUUUUUUGGUAAAUGAAAAUUUUUAUUCAUAACCAAAAUGUGAAAUAUGAGUACAUCAAAGACAUUCCAGUGAUAACUGGAAGAACAACUAUCUUGUUUUUUUACAAUUGCUCAAUUCUUUCUUUUAUGUGGAGAGGAACAUCAUCAUUGAGGACUUUAGAAAGAAUUAGAAGCUUCACUGUCUUAAACACAAAUUCAGUUCCUUUAGCUUCUUGCCGAAAAAUUCUUUGAUUCCUUUCUUUCCAUAUAGCAUAAACUGUGACUGAUAAUGCCAAUCAUUUAAGCUUUAUCAUGAACCCCUUCCUUUUCAGUCUCAUACUAAACCAUUGAAUGACACAUUCCCAGCUGCAAGAUUUCCACCUGAAAUUCAUCAUUCCAUAGCUCUGUUCCAGAUAGCUGCUGAGAAUUCACAUUCAAAGAAAAGAUGCCCGAUGGUUUCAUGCUUUUGAUGAGUGCAUAGAACACAGAAGUUAGUGUCAAGGAUCCCCAAGUGCAUAGAGGCUGAAUGUUGACCAUUAUAAAUGUAAUAAAAUUUAGUUUGUUAUAAUCGUCUACACUACUAUAUUUGCGAGAGUAAUAUAAAAAUGAACGAAUUAAAGGAGGACAUUUUCUUAUUUCAAUUAUAAUUUCUAGGGCAAAAAAUUAAUUUAAUAAGAGGCAUUUUUCUCUUUUUUUCCAUUCUCAUUCCCUUUUGUUUCUAAAUAUUCUGUAUCAUACAAAUAAUUUUUUCCUUCUUUUUUGUUUUCUAGAAUAUUCCAUACAAAACAAUACCAUAAACAUAUGUAGAAUUUGUUCCCAGGUAACAACAUGUCCAUAUGUCUUAGGUUCUAAAGGGAAUACAUAUAAAAUUUAAGAUUUUCUCCAGAAAAAAAAUAUUUUCAUCGUCAAGAAAUCGAAGAACUUAGUGGUAUGAAAUAUACAUAUUUUGAAAAUUAUAAGUUAUGUGCAUUAGGCAUGUGUAUUUUAUUCUACAACAAAGGAGCCCAUAGCUAGCAUUAACAGAAGAUGAACGAUGACCUUCAUAUUAUAAAAUUAAAUUUAUCAUAAUCAUAUAAACUACUAUAAAAAGAACAUUGUCACAGUAAUUAAAAAAAUAACUGAAAAAAGGACAUAUUCUUCUUUCAAUUAAUUUUAUUUACGAGUGCAAAAGUAACUUAAUUAAUGAAAGAUAUUUUUCUCCUUCUUCCCCUUUUCCUUUCUUUUUUGCUUCUAGAAUAUUUCAUGUCCAUAUCAAUACAAUACCAUAAACAUAGAAUUUGUUUCCAAAUCAUGUCCAUAUGUUUUAGGUUCUAAAAGGAAUACAAAUUAAAACUAUGAUUUUCUUUAGGGAAAAACAAUAUCAUCAUGGAUAAAUCAGAGAAUAUAAAAGUAUAUAAGUGUUUUGGAAAUUAUAACUUAUGCAUGGGCAUGCAUCUUGUUCUGCAAUGAAGGAAAUAAAACUUAUACAUAUUACAUUAAUAGAUGAUAAAGAUAUUAAUUUUCCAUAUAAAAUAAAAGGAUUAUUUGUUCGGAUUUAAUAUCUCUUAGUACAAUUGAAUCAACUACGUAAUUUUAACAUAUAGAAAUUUUUUAAAAUAAUUUUUCAUUCAUUCCCCUUCAAAACACCACUUGGCAAAAAUAACACGUGGCAAAAAAUAACACAUACCCUUAAAAAAGUCACGUGGCAUCAAUUUCGGUUCCCAACACGAGGCAACUUCUCCUUUAAAAUUUUCUUAAAAAAAAUUGAUUCAUCAAAUUUCAAUUUCCAAGCACAUUGCAAACGCCACCUUCUCUCUCAUAACAUCUAUUUCAAUUUUCCAAGCACAUUGCAAUUCCACCUUCUCUACUUCCGUAAUUAAUGCAUUGGGUUCUAGUUUUUUUUCGUAACUGUGCCAUCAUUUCCAAAGCUCCCAUCAAAAACUCAACCAUUCACGCCUCCCAUCAUUUCCAAAGCUCCCAUCAAAUACUCAACCAUUUCCAAAGGUCCCAUAAAAAACGCUACCUUCUCAGCUCGCUCGCCCGCCUCCGUUGGCAUAAAAAACGCUACCUUUCACAGUCUCAGCUCGCCGCCUUCGAUCCCGGCCGAUACGCCGCUCUCUAAUGAAUUGGCGGCAGCGUUUCCUCGCCGGAAGCAUCUCGGCCGCCUCCGCCGGCAGCGUAUCGGCCGCAACUCACCAUCCCUGCGGUCAACGUGAGGAAUCCGACUCCUACGAGGGCCUCGCCGCCGUCGGCCUCCGUGAAGAGAGAGCCUAAGAGUAGACCAUCGCCGCCGUAGCCGAAGGCGAAGAAGAAGCCAAAAAGGGUUCUUGAGAAGAGAGAGCGUGAGGAUUUGAUCCCAAGCAUUUGCAGUAGCUCGUCGCCUUGCACCAUUAGGAUCCAGGGCAGUACUCAAGGUUAUGGUAUCAACAGCUAUUGUGAUUCUUGUAGACAGAACUUAAGACCAACAAAUGGAGAAUUACAUGUCAAUGGUGUGACUGUUGAUGAUACACAAGAAUCACCAACAACCACUCAUCAGCCAUUUUCGAGUAGUGUAACCAAGAGAGUAACAAUUCAUGGACAUCAUCCCG